UGGGGAAUAUUGCACAAUGGAGGGAACUCUGAUGCAGCGACGCCGCGUGAGUGAUGAAGGAAUUCGUUUCGUAAAACUCUGUUCUAUGGGAAGAAAAGGACUGUACCAUAGGAGAAAGCUCCGGCUAAAUACGUGCCAGCAGCCGCGGUAAUACGUAUGGAGCGAGCGUUGUCCGGAAUUAUUGGGCGUAAAGUGUGCGCAGGCGGCUUUACAAGUUGGAUGUGAAAUAUUGUGGCUCAACCACAAACGUGCAUCCAAAACUGCAAAGCUUGAGUGAAGGAGAGGUAAGUGGAAUUCCUGGUGUAGCGGUGGAAUGCGUAGAUAUCAGGAGGAAUACCGGUGGCGAGGGCGACUUACUGGACUUAAACUGACGCUCAGGCACGAAAGCGUGGGGAGCAAGCAGG
rnacentral:rRNA from 1 species